ACGGCCUUCGGGUUGUAAACCUCUUUCAGUAGGGAAGAAGCGAAAGUGACGGUACCUGCAGAAGAAGCGCCGGCUAACUACGUGCCAGCAGCCGCGGUAAUACGUAAGGCGCAAGCGUUAUCCGGAAUUAUUGGGCGUAAAGAGCUCGUAAGCGGUUUGUCGCGUCUGCCGUGAAAGUCCGGGGUUCAACUCCGGAUCUGCGGGGGGUACGGGCAGACUAGAGUGAUGUAGGGGAGACUGGAAUUCCUGGUGUAGCGGUGAAAUGCGCAGAUAUCAGGAGGAACACCGAUGGCGAACGCAGGUCUCUGGGCAUUAACUGACGCUGAGGAGCGAAAGCAUGGGGAGCGAACAGGAUUAGAUACCCUGGUAGUCCAUGCCGUAAACGUUGGGCACUAGGUGUGGGGGACAUUCCACGUUUUCCGCGCCGUAGCUAACGCAUUAAGUGCCCCGCCUGGGGAGUACGGCCGCAAGGCUAAAACUCAAAGGAAUUGACGGGGGCCCGCACAAGCGGCGGAGCAUGCGGAUUAAUUCGAUGCAACGCGAAGAACCUUACCAAGGCUUGACAUGGACCGGAAAUGCCUGGAAACAGGUGCCCCGCUUGCGGUCGGUUCACAGGUGGUGCAUGGUUGUCGUCAGCUCGUGUCGUGAGAUGUUGGGUUAAGUCCCGCAACGAGCGCAACCCUCGUUCUAUGUUGCCAGCGCGUUAUGGCGGGGACUCAUAGGAGACUGCCGGGGUCAACUCGGAGGAAGGUGGGGACGACGUCAAAUCAUCAUGCCCCUUAUGUCUUGGGCUUCACGCAUGCUACAAUGGCCGGUACAAAGGGUUGCGAUACUGUG
rnacentral:rRNA from 1 species